GGAGACGUCCGAGGGGCACGUGAAUGCAGCAGAGGGCUUGCGGAGUCGCUCGAGCUGAGGGUAGCUCGAGGAGGAUUCUGACAUGUACACUCCUGCGACUGAAUCCACAUGUUGUCUGUUAGCAUGCAAAAGUAGCCGGACCCCCUUAAUACACCCAUGGAUGUAUGACUGCAACUGAAAUGUAGUUUGCAAAGAUAAAGGCUAGUAUGGAGAAAAAAGAAGAGAUGGAGACGGGCUGGUACCUGGAGGCGGCUGAGCGCGGUCCACACUGCAGGAAGUAGGGAGACGAAACUGAAUCCCUGCAAGGAGCAAACACCAAUUAGAAAGGACAAAUGCAGACGUUCUAAUGGUACUGACAAAACUUGCAACUUGAUGGGCAAUGGACAUUCUCCAGGACAGCAAUUCUCCAGGAGGUGCCUCAACCUUAUACAAGUGCCUGAUAACAAACGUAUUGCCAGGGACAUUUGAAUAUGUAUUUUGUUUGUUAUGUUUUAUACUUGUUUGCUUUUGCCUCUGUUGUAGCUGCCAAUGUUGUCAAAAAAUGGCUUAUUGAAUUAUAACACUAACAACAGAAUCACAAUAAAAUUAAGUAAGAGGCAAAAGAUGAACCAAAAUGUACCAAAUUGAAAAUCAGCUAUAUUGUCUUUAGGUGAAAGCCUUUGAAUAAUCAAUGUCUGCCAAGGUUGUUUUUUGCCCAUCUGCAUUUCCCUAAUAUGUUGACCGUGUAUCAUUAUCUAAAGAUCAAUCCUUAGUUAUCAGGCAUAUGAUAACAUGCAUCAUCUGAAUCUGAAAACAGACAGCUAUGCAUUCUUAUUUUACAUACAAGACACAGAGCAGACAUCAUUAAACAUAAAUAUAAAAAUGAAGUCAAAUUUUAAAAUUCAGAACUUAAUAAAACCAAUUUAUAUUUUCCAAUUAAUGGUUUCAAAUGGCAAGAUAAUUAACUAAUUUCCCCCCUAUUUUUUUAAUAUUAGACAUGUAUUAAAUAUUUAAGCAUUAAACUUGGUUCAUUAGCGGUACAGUUUGUCUCCUAAAACAGAGUAUUUCAAUUUUUGGAGUAUAAGGCCAAAAAGUAAUGUCAUGUACAGACAAAGAUUUAGCAAAAAGAGACACAGACAAUCAUUUUAAUUAAGCCACUCCACAACUGUAGUAAAAUACCACAAAUAUGAGCUUGAAUAGAAACGUUUGUAAAUCUUAUAGAAAUUAGGUCUAGACAGUAGGGAAACAAAGAAAAUCAGACAAAAUUUGCAGAGAGAUCCAGACAAAGAUAGAAAGAUGUUUUUAAGUGGAAAAGCCAGACAGUCUAUCAGACUAUUUUAUCUUUUUUUUUUUUUUUUUACUUCUGACUGCCUCUGGUGAUGCAACAAAAUAUAAUACAUUUAAAAGUGGCAUGCUGUACUGCAGCAUGUGGAGUUCCACUUUUUACAUUCCCAAAUUUUCAAAUAUAAUUAUAAUACUAAUUACUGGAAAAUUAAGUGAUAACUUAUUGUGUUCACACUUUGUCAUGUGAACAUGAUAAGUGCAGCUGAGAUUCCAGAUUGAUUAUGUAGGUACUAUUAAAACUAUGGUACUUGCAUGUACUUAAUGUAAAUGUGCCCUAAUAUCAUUUCAUAAACGUUUUGGUGCAGAGAAAUAAAACAGACCUUCUCUCGUGCUUUUUCAACAAGGCCCCUCAAACCUUUUGUUCCUUUGUGGUCAAGACUUAAAUUUCAGAAAAAUCGUUGCAAAAGUUCUGACUGCGUCUCCUUCCCGUCCGACUCCCUCCAUUCGUGCCAGAGGCCGUUCUUGCCAUAGUUGUGGAUUCAGACUGGCAAAGAGGCGGUGAGAUGCUGAUCUUACUCAGGUCAGGGUGGAUUGUGGCUUAAUGGCGUGCAUGCAAUGACUGGCGAGCUGCAUACAUGAGCAUGGGGGCUGAAGAUGUAACAAAGUGAAUGUGAAGCCUCUCAGGUCGUAAUGUAACACUAUGUUUUGUUUGACUCCAUGCUGUAUUAAGCAUGGAAUCUGAGUAACUAUCCAGCUUCACUCCAUUUAGCAAGGGCUCCGGAAAAACAUGUUUAUAUGUUUAAAGCCUAAAAAACACUGCCUACAGCUUUAUCUAGUUGCAAAAUAAGAAUUAUCUCUCUUUAACAAUUUGUUCCACUGGCUGUCUAAGCAGUCAGUGUAUACUAUAUAUAGACCAACAAGCACUGCUUUUAUUUUACAUAAUUGCAUAAAUGUAGCAUGGAGUCUGCUCCAAGUUUUUUCAUGAAGCUAGUUUAGCUUGUUAGUGCUAGGCACAUCACAGCAUCCCUUACAUGAAAAUAACUAAUAUUCAUGUGAUGAUUACUGUAUAUCUUACAUUGCAUAAGUAAAAUGUCUAUUUAGUGAUAAACUUGAGAAUUAAAUGCAUAUUAAAUCAUACUUGUGUACUGAAAUAGUCUAAAAUUGACUUUUCUUGCUUACCUAAAUGGCAUUUCUUUAGUGUGGCAUAAAAGACAUAUUGCCAAAGGCAAAAUAAAUUACUGUGUUCAGCUAAAAACAAAACAAAAAAAAACUGCUUUGCCAAAAAAACAUUGACUAAUGGGAAUUUAUAAUGUCUUUCUAUCAAUGUUGUUAUACCUGACUCAAACAUUUGUCGGGCCUAGGCUUGAACUUGAGUAUGGCACUGGUGGUUAGCAAAGUUGGAUGAGUGGAUGGAUCUAUAAAUGGAUGAAUGGAUGGAUGAUUUGACAUAGGACAACUAGUAGGACUUGAGGGUGUGUAGGUCAGGAAUUCCAGCUGAUUCUGCUGGAUUUACAAAAUUUAAAACAUAGGUUUUGUAGGCCUUUUUUCAAUAUUAAUUCAAUUAAAACAAGCAUGUUGUUCAUAGCCACAUACAUAUAUACAUACAGUGGUGAUGCCCCCAUGGAUGCAAGGUGGAUUAACCUUUUAUGUAUGAUAUAUCACAACAAACCAAUACAAAUCAAUGGCCCGAAAGUAUAAUUUCACCAAACUCUCUUUUAAUUGCCUUUGCCCCAGUGAUGAGGUAGUGGAUGGCGUCCCAAAUAAAUCCACAAAAAAGUUAACCUUCUCCAGCCUUCACAGUUAAAGUAACUUAAAACGCCCAGAUAACAGCCCCUAGAAGCUGUGAAGAUCAUUGUACCCUAUAAUCACAAGUGUUGGACAAAACAAAGAAUAUAUUGACCAUUUUGCUAUUGUUAGAGCCUUACCUAUAGUUUGGUUAAAAAGAUGUUUGUCUUGAAUGUGGCACUACAUGUAAAGGAAAAUCUAAAGAGUUGUUAAAAUUGAAGAAUUUGCCCUUUUGAAGAAUUUAACCUGCUAAAAUAUUUUGUGUGUGCAAAGAUGAUAUUUUUGGUCUGAGAAUGGCACUAGAAUAGCGUUCUGUUGAAAAUGUAAACAGUUAAUUAAAUUGGGAAGUGUGCAUUUGCUCUGAAAAUUUUAAGCAAAUUUGCCCAUUCCAUGUGUACACAGGGAAUAUUUGGCAUGAUGGUAGCACUAUAGGAAAGGUCAUGGGUUCACCAAAACUAAGGAUUCAUCCUUUGGGGUUCUGACUCUCAAUCAGUCUUCAAUAUGUUGCAUUAAACAAAAGUGUUGGACAGAUAAAACAACUGACAGAUCAUUGGAUAUCACCAUCCACAGGCUCUGCUGCUAGUGGGGCCAUUAAAAUGGGUUUGCUAUAGUACAGCAAUGGCAGCUGAAUAUAACCUUUGCCACCAAAUAAAAACAUUUCAUUAUGAACAGACCUUUUUAGAUAGAAUUUUAGCCCACACAUUGUGCGUAGUUUGUUUGAAUUGUAUGUUCAAGACGAGCUGGAACCAAUAACAAAUGCCACAUAUGAAACUGUACCUACCCAAUAUUUCUGACUACAAGUAUAAUACUGUAUGUAGGUUUUCAUGUAGACUGCACGACAUCUCCCACGUUUCAAUUACUUCAAAUCAUUCACCCACCACCCUUAAAGUCAAGUUUGAGUAUUGGUAGUAGUAUCUAUCCUUCCCCUAAAACAAAUAAGCUGAAUUUAAAAUGCCAUAAAUGUCAAAACUACUACUGAAAGGUGACUGGAAAACUACUGAAAAACUACUGAAAGUGACUGACUUAAAUACAAAUCUGAAAAGGUCUUUUUAUACUUAAACAACUGUGGUUUGUCCACGAUUUAAGUAUGAAAACCUGAUUUGAUGAUAUCAUCUCAAAGCAGCAUUGAUUUGUGCUGGUUUGUAGAACAAAGCAGUUAUGUUGGUCAUAACCGGCCUUGCUGCAUGCCAGGAUAUUUAAAAUAAAGACACACUACUGUGUGCUGAUUUUAUUCCCCUCUGUUCGCUCAAAGAAAAUGUAUACAAUGGUUAAAGCAAGUGGGUGAAUCGGUACUAAUCCAAUGAAUUUGAACAGAAUAGUAUUAUAAAUCAUAACAAAUAAAAACAAACCUUAAAAAAAAAUCAUGGAUUUUAUAAAAGGCUUCAUCCACAUCUCAGUUAAAGUAUAUUUCAGAUGUGCUCAGUUGUGUCUGUUCAAAUGCAGAAAAUAUUGUACAAUAAAUGCCAGUGUGCUAACACAAGGCCAACGUGUGGGACAGUAAACAGAUGUUUAAGUUUUGUUCUUCUGGUUUGUUGAACUCAUUAUCUAGCACUAGUACAUACUCUUAAAAAUUCCACUUGAUUCAAUGUGGAAACAGAUGAAAACAUUUAAAUGUAUUAUACAUACUUAGUGAGUAUGAAAUAAUUGUUAACUUAUGAUAUAUCUUAUUUUAGUGGAAAAUGUUAAUGAGUCAGACAAAAUGUAUGAAAAACUAUUAACAACAUAUAAAAAAAAAGUUAGAAUAAAGCGGUUCCCUACCAGACCUACCGUACUCUCUACGCCCCCUUGCUAAGCUACGGGCGCCUAAAAUGGAGGAAAAAAAAAACAUAAAACAAAAAGGUGAUAGCUUAGUAGAAAAGCAAUGCAUAUUGACAGGGUCAAAGUAAAAGACACUGUUUAUGGCCCAUGCUGUGUACAGUAUUUGUGUGUUACAGUGUGUAGACUACACACUACGGACACAAAAUAUACUAUUUCUGUCAGUUUCAUCUUUGGAUGCCAUUGUAAAGCUAUGACCCCCAUUUUGCCAUUUAAGUUACCAUAAACAUGAACAUCAUAAACAUUUUAAUCCAUUGUUUUAUAUCAAUAUAUGAAAAAUACAUAAGGCCAAUAAAAGUUCUAAAUGAAAAUUCACAAGAAACACCACAAUAAGCAAAAAAAAUGUAUCACAUACUUUUAACAAAACAAGCAUAAGCUAACAAAUGCAGUCUAAAGUAUGGUUUUCAAAAGAUGCUUUAUAACUUCGACAAAGUCUGAUUCACUAACAAUACAGUCUAAGAUCCCUGAAAAUUGCAACAUGAUUGAUGCAAAACAGAGUAGCAUGUUUUCUCCAAGAAACCUUGAAUAAAUGCAGGAAAAGAACAUAGGGGUAGAAAAGGAUUUAUAUUCAAGCAGUGUUACAGGUUCAGGUGAGAUCAGAUUCAAUCCAAAAACCUUUGUCCCAAUAGCUGGACGUCACAGAGUUGGCAUAGUUGUUUCAUCACAUCUCUGGAUGACAACAAAAUGUAAACAAAAACUCAUGGGGCAAUUGACUACAUACUGUAACAUAUAAGAUAGACAGUUCAAUAUAUAAUGAUAUAUUUCAUUACACAAAAUAUGGUUGCAUGGUUAAAAAUAAUUUAAAUACCCCUUUGUCUAUUUCCUCUUCAGUCUUUGUUAAAUGUACAACUUUCAUGUAUAUAGUUUUAAAAUAAUACUUAAAUAAAUUUCUGUAUUUUGCUACAUUUCAACUUGUUUUAGGAAAGGGUAAUUUCUUUGGACUAAAUAAUGAAAUGAUAAUGAACACUAGAUUGAACUUAUUUAUAGCAUGGGUGAGUUCCCUGGGAUCAAUCAAUCACCAGUUUACAGUUCGGUUGGAUAUAAAUUUAGAAGCAUUUUUAAGCAUUUUGUACAGCAUUGUUUUCCAAUUUUGCUGUAGUCUGUAAAUAAAUUGACAAUGUGUGAUACAAAUAUGAUUGUUAAUUUCUUUUGUACAUGAUGUCACAAAACACACGGAUGCUACCACUUAGCAGAAAUAUCAAGAAUCUCACAAACAAACUCUUUGA